GUAGUGGAUAGCUCGGUUCGAGAAGCCGAAGAAGGACGUGGCAAGCUGCGAUAAGCUUGGGCGAGACGCAUGCAGUCAUCGAGCCCAAGAUUUCCUAAUGUGACUUCAUAGGUCGUUUCGGCGACCUGCUCCACACGGAGCGGGAACGCGGUGAACUGAAACAUCUCAGUAGCCGCAGGAGAAAAAAUCAACGGAGAUCCCCUUAUUAGCGGCGAGCGAAAGGGGGACAGCGCAAACUGAAGCCGCAUCUGAGAGGAUGCUGGCAAUGUGGUUCGGCCGUCCGUAGGAACCUAUUGGUUCAGUCGAACUCUGCUGGAAAGCAGGGCCAUAGAGAGUGAUAGCCUCGUAGACGAUUGCCAAAACGUUCUGGGACGUGCCAAGAGUAGCAUGGGUUGGAAAUCCUGUGCGAAUUUGGGAGGCACUACUUUCUUCCAACGCUAAAUACUUCUCGAGUCCGAUAGCGUACUAAGUACUGUGAAGGAAAGCUGAAAAGUACCCCUAGAAAGGGGGUUCAAAGAGCUUGAAACUAUCUAGUAAUAGGCUAGGUACAGCAUGUAAGCGUCGAUGGCUGUGAAAGAAUCCUUCCGAGAGGAGGUAGUAUGAAUCAGCCGGAGCAGUGUUGUACCAUCCGUUUUGAAAAACGGGGCAGAGAGUUUUCCGUCGUGGCGAGGCUAACCACCGAUUCGGUGGGGAGUCACAGCGAAAGCAAGAAGCCCGCAGCAGUCCUUUUGGACUGUCAGGGGCCGCGUGUUAACUCGCGUGAAGUCACCGCGGAAUGAUCCGAAACCGGUCGAUCCUGGCCUGGCUAGGGUGAAGCGGCGCGAAAGCUCCGUGGAGGCCCACACCGGUGCUGUGUUACAAGCGCUCGGAUGAGCUGGGUCAAGGGGUGAAAUGUCAAUCGAGAUCGGUGAUGGCUGGUUCUUCUCGAAAUGGAUCGAAGUCCAGCCUCAGUGGAGGUUGUUGUACAGGUAAAGCGACUGAUUUUGGGUACCUGAGCUCGCGCUCAGGCCCGAAGUCAAACUCUGAACUGUGCAACGCCGUAGAUACUGGGAGUGAGGGCUGGUGGGUAAGCUACCAGUCCGAGAGGGAAACAACCCAGAGUAAGGUUAAGGCCCCUCAAUUCCUGACUAAGUGUCAUCGAGGAUGUCCCGGUUCUCAGACAGCGAGGAGGUUAGCUUAGAAGCAGCUACCCUUUAAAGAUAGCGUAACAGCUCACUCGUUGAGGACCGGGGCGCCGUAAAUGGACGGGGCUCAAGUCAGGAGCCGAGACCUUACCAUUGUUUUCAACAGUGGGUAGAGAAGCGAUCCGCAUGGGCGGAAGCAUGGACGUGAGUUCGUGUGGACCGUGUGGAUAUGAAGAUUCUGCCGGCAGUAUCAGCAUUAAGAUAGGUGCGAAUCCUAUCGGCCGAAAGGAUAAGGGUUCCUCUGCAAUGUUCAUCAGCAGAGGGUUAGUCGGUCCUAAGCCAGUCCGUAAUUCGAGACUGGCGAAUAGGGAAUCAGGUUAAUAUUCCUGAACCUCCUUACAUUAAUCGACGUCUUGGGAUAUCGGAGGCUGCGUUUUCGCGCAGUCCAAGCAGUUAAUGCAUGCGAGCGUAAUGCAUCGACCAUGUGAAGCUGUGAUGGGUCUGGGAAUAAUCCCGGAUCUCCGCGAGUCCUGGGACUCUUAAAAAGAUGUAAGAGUCCGUACCCAGAACCAGCACAGGUAUCCAGGCUGAGUAAGCUAAGGCCCUCGGGUAUAACGCGAUUUAGGGAAUUCGGCAAGUUAGCCCCGUACGUUCGCAAUAUGGGGUGCCUAUCCUCUCGCUAGGAUAGGUUGCAAUUACCAGAGAAGCUCGACUGUUUACUAAAAACAUAGCCGACUGCUAGUCCGAAAGGAUUUGUAUAGUCGGCGACUCUUGCCCAGUGCCAGUACCUGAACACUCCGUACAAGGAGACGAAGGGCUGGUAAACGGCGGCGGUAACUAUGACCGUCUUAAGGUAGCGUAGUCCCUUGCCAAUUAAUUGUUGGCCCGCAUCAAUAGAGUAACGAGGCUUCUACUGUCCCAAAUCGUGGCCCGGUGAACCCGCCGUACCGGCGCAUAGGCCGGUGACUCCCAGUGGGAAGCGAAGACCCUGUGAACCUUUACUGCAGUCUAACGUUGCGGUGGGGUUCCAAGUGUGAAGUGUAGGUAGGAGGCAUUACAGAGGUGCGUGCGCUAGCACGUCGCCCAGCCGAUCAUGGGACACUACCCUCCUGGAACCCCGCUGCUUACUUCUACGGAAGGACAGCGUUAGCUGGGCAGUUUAACUGGGGCGGUAUCCCUCUGAUAACGAAUCAGAGGGGUCCAAAGGUAGGCUCAACUCGGUCAGAAAUCGAGUGUAGAGUACAAGAGCAAAAGCCUGCCUGACUGGUUCCUCUACAGCACGAGAACUAGGCGCGAAAGCGUGGUCUAGCGAACGCCUACAGCCAAGUAGUGAGGCUUAGGCCUGACGGAAAAGGUACUCCAGGGAUAACUGGAUUGUCUGAGGCGCGAGCUCACAUCGACCCUCAGGCUUGUUACUUCGAUGUCGGCUCUCCGUAUCCUGGCUGUGCAACAGCAGCCAAGGGUGGGGGUGUUCACCCAUUAAAACGGAUCGUGAGCUGGGUUUAGAUCGGCGUGAGCCAGAUCUGUUGCUAUCUGCUGGGAGUGUUUAGUGGUCUGAGAGGAAAGUUCGGACAGUACGAAAGGAACCCCGAACUGAGGCCUCUGGUGUAUCUGUCAUCCGAGAGGGUGUUGCAGAGUAGCUAUGCCUCGAGGUGUAAAAGCUGAAAGCAUCUAAGCUUGAAAGCCACCUCAAAAAGAGACCGCUUCCACUCUCGCA
rnacentral:rRNA from 1 species